rnacentral:tRNA from 4 species
GCGGGCGUAGCUCAAUGGCAGAGUCUCAGUCUUCCAAACUGAUUGUGCGGGUUCGAUUCCCGUCGCCCGCUCCA